UACGUAGGGGGCGAGCGUUGUCCGGAUUUAUUGGGCGUAAAGGGCGCGUAGGCGGCCUUCUAAGUCGAACGUGAAAUCCCCGGGCUCAACCCGGGAACUGCGUCCGAUACUGGAAGGCUUGAAUCCGGGAGAGGGAUGCGGAAUUCCAGGUGUAGCGGUGAAAUGCGUAGAUAUCUGGAGGAACACCGGUGGCGAAGGCGGCAUCCUGGACCGGCAUUGACGCUGAGGCGCGAAAGCCAGGGGAGCAAACGGG
rnacentral:rRNA from 1 species